UCCUUAAACAUUUAUGGGCCGCGGUACCUGCAUAGUCUUUCGUUGCAAAACACUUUGUUAAAAAGGAAACGACUGUAUUAAGGCUUUGAAUAGUUUGUACGUACAACAUCACGAUCAACAGACCGAGUUCAAUCGUCUCCCAUUUUAAGCAAAUCCAGUCUAAAUUUCCAGACAUAAGUUGCCCAGCCAAUGUGUUUCUGGAUAUAAAUGCAAAUGAAAAUAAAGAAAGCGUAUGUCUUUCCAGCAAUAUUUUGGUAAAGCUAUUAUCAGAUGGAAAAGUGAUCAAUUCGCCGAUCAAAACAUGGAUUCACUUAAAGCACCAAAGUCCAACCCUGAUACUUUUUUAAACAAGAUUUGCAAUUCUACAAUUACUUUAGACUAGUUGGUCCAUUAUUUAUUUAUUUAUUUAUUUAUUUAUUUAUUUCUGGACGUGUGUGACAAGCAUACAGCCAGAAUUACUAAAAAUGUUUUCACCUAGUGAAUACGAUGUAGCUCUAACUGUAAAAUCGGUUGGCGUCUCAUCUUGUUCCUGGACCCUUUCAUCUCCGCCAGGCGGCUUGACCAGACCUCUGCUGUCUCUGAACUUGUAGGACUAGUUGCUUGCGCUCAAUCAUCUUCGGAUUUUAUCUCAAGCAUAAAAUAAAAGAAAGUUGUGAGAUGAGAGUGUUUCUCGUAAAAUGAUUAAGAAUGAAUGCGAAAUUAAUUAUAUAAGUUAAAUGCCAUUGAAUAUGUUUUGCGUUAUUUUAAACAGUGUGGGGAAUCACGUGACCCAAAAUGGUACGGAACACGGAAAUCAACAUGGCGGAUUUUUGACUUUUUUACCAAUUUUCAAAGACAUGGCCAAACCUAAGAAGAAACGGAGUCUGACACUUGGGAAAAAGAAAUGGAUAAAGAAGCAAAACAAGAAUAUCAAUAUCAAAAUAACUUUCCAAUUGCCGCAAUGCGCCAGGAAAUCACCAGCGAGAAAACAAACAAAAAGACUGCUUAAGCCAUAUGAAUCACCUCUACCACUUAUAUCCAGCAAACUGAAGAAUAAAGUCAUUUAGGUCACCUGUCGCUUCCAAAAAACAAACAUACAAUAACUCUCGAUUGAAGUUAAAGUCUUCAAGAUCACUUUUUGGACCUGUAGAGGAAAGCAGUGAUAUGUAAAUAAAAUCUGGAAAGUAGAUCCCUCGGAAGCACCGAAAACAAGAAGACGAUGUAGAGCACUUCUUAAACACCGGAUUGCAAGUGUGAAGAGCUG
rnacentral:lncRNA from 1 species